CCCCCCUCAAGAUGAGAUUUCCCAAUUAGUAAGACCCCUUGAAGACGACGAGGUAGAUAGGUUGGGGGUGGAAGUGCAGUAAUGCAUGGAGCUGACCAAUACUAAUCGGUCGAGGGCUUAUCCUAAAA
rnacentral:rRNA from 1 species